GUGCUCACAUUGGCAGCACAUAUACUAAAAUUGGAACAGUAUAGACAAGACUAGCAUGGCCCCUGAGCGAGGAUGAUAAACAAAUUUAUGAAGCUUUCAUAUUAAAA